GGAUGCGUCCGGGGGCGGUGUCGCCGGCCACACGCCCAUUCUUGUCUAUUUACCCAGUUGCCUCGGCGGGCCGCGCACUCGUGCCGCGCCUCGAGGAGCCGUCCGGGGACAAUCAACUCCCUGGAUCGCGCCCGCCGGAGGAGUGAUUAAAAUCCAUGAAUACUGUUCCGUCUGAGCGUUAGCAAGUAAAAUCAGUUAAAACUUUCAACAACGGAUCUCUUGGUUCCGGCAUCGAUGAAGAACGCAGCGAAAUGCGAUAAGUAAUGUGAAUUGCAGAAUUCCGUGAAUCAUCGAAUCUUUGAACGCACAUUGCGCCCUCUGGUAUUCCGGGGGGCAUGCCUGUUCGAGCGUCAUUUCAACCCCUCAAGCCCGGCUUGUGUGAUGGACGACCGUCCCGCCCUCCCUACUCCAGGGGAGGGGGACGCGCCCGAAAAGCAGUGGCCAGGCCGCGAUUCCGGCUCCUGGGCGAAUGGGCAACAAACCAACGCCUCUAGGACCGGCCGGUUUUCUGGCCUAGUUUUAGUUAGGGAUGAACUUCCCUACAAUCAGGU
rnacentral:sRNA from 1 species